rnacentral:rRNA from 1 species
UACGUAGGGUGCAAGCGUUGUCCGGAAUUAUUGGGCGUAAAGAGCUCGUAGGCGGUCUGUCGCGUCGGCUGUGAAAACUCGGGGCUCAACUCCGGGCCUGCAGUCGAUACGGGCAGACUGGAGUUCGGCAGGGGAGACUGGAAUUCCUGGUGUAGCGGUGAAAUGCGCAGAUAUCAGGAGGAACACCGGUGGCGAAGGCGGGUCUCUGGGCCGAUACUGACGCUGAGGAGCGAAAGCGUGGGGAGCGAACAGG